rnacentral:rRNA from 1 species
GUAGGUGGCAAGCGUUGUCCGGAGUUAUUGGGCGUAAAGCGCGCGCAGGUGGUUCUUUAAGUCUGAUGUGAAAGCCCCCGGCUCAACCGGGGAGGGUCAUUGGAAACUGGGGAACUUGAGUGCAGGAGAGGAAAGUGGAAUUCCACGUGUAGCGGUGAAAUGCGUAGAUAUGUGGAGGAACACCAGUGGCGAAGGCGACUUUCUGGCCUGUAACUGACACUGAGGCGCGAAAGCGUGGGGAGCAAACAGGGAUUAGAUACCCUGGUAGUCCACGCCGUAAACGAUGAGUGCUAAGUGUUGGGGGGGUUUCCCGCCCCUCAGUGCUGCAGCUAACGCAUUAAGCACUCCGCCUGGGGAGUACGGUCGCAAGACUG